GACGAACGCUGGCGGCGUGCUUAACACAUGCAAGUCGAACGGUGAAGCGCCUUCCUUUUUGGUGGGUGUGGAUGAGUGGCGAACGGGUGAGUAACACGUGAGUAACCUGCCCCCUUCUUCUGGAUAACCGCAUGAAAGUGUGGCUAAUACGGGAUAUUCUGGGUCUGUCGCAUGAUGGGUCUGGGAAAGAUAUUGUUUCGGUGGGGGAUGGGCUCGCGGCCUAUCAGCUUGUUGGUGGGGUGAUGGCCUACCAAGGCGGUGACGGGUAGCCGGCCUGAGAGGGUGGACGGUCACACUGGGACUGAGACACGGCCCAGACUCCUACGGGAGGCAGCAGCGGGGAAUAUUGCACAAUGGGCGCAAGCCUGAUGCAGCGACGCCGCGUGAGGGAUGGAGGCCUGCGGGUUGUGAACCUCUUUCGCCAGUGAAGCAGGCCUGCCUCGUUUGUGGGUGGGUUGACGGUAGCUGGAUAAGAAGCGCCGGCUAACUACGUG
rnacentral:rRNA from 1 species